UUUUCAGAUUAAAAAAACAUGAGCACAAAUUUUAUUUAUUAGUGUUGACACUGCAAAAGAAAAGAGAAGUUCUGGUACAAACACAGCGCUGACAGGUGCUUCCACAUGAGUAAGGACCGCAUGAUGCUAUGCUGAGGCCAUGGUCGGGUAAUAAUCCUUGACAUUCUGUAUAGUCUCAACAACAGCAUUGUAAGUGGCCAUGUCGAAGUCUUCCGUUACUGCAGGUGGGAAGAGCACAUAACUUUCACAGACAAUCGCCAACUUAGCCGUCACUUCCCCAAUUACUUAGAUGAUGCCCUCCAGUGGUUCUUGAAUCGGAUUCUUCAUGAUUACUUGAA
rnacentral:lncRNA from 1 species